UACAGAGGUCCCGAGCGUUGUUCGGAAUUACUGGGCGUAAAGGGUGCGUAGGCGGUGGGGUAAGUUUGAGGUGAAAGCUCCGGGCUCAACCCGGAAAAUGCCUUGAAAACUAUCCGGCUAGAGGGUUGGAGGGGAGACUGGAAUUCUCGGUGUAGCAGUGAAAUGCGUAGAUCUCGAGAGGAACACCAGUGGCGAAGGCGGGUCUCUGGACAACACCUGACGCUGAGGCACGAAAGCCAGGGGAGCAAACGGG
rnacentral:rRNA from 1 species